AAACCAACCCUAACCUGAUAUUCACUAGCCACACCCGCUCCCCAGAUACACACCACAACACUCACUCACCUCUCACUAUCAGCCGCACACACCCUCAUCUCCCUUACCCUCUCCAACGGCGCCCAUACACCACCGCUCACACACAGAUUUGAAGAAAGGAAGAAAAGGGAAAUGGAGAUCGGGGGUGAGAGAAACAGGGAGAAGAAAGAAGAGAGAAAGGAGAGGGGGAAGAGCACGCCGGCAGAACCACUAUCGUUCACCGCCGUGUCGCCGCCGCAGAGCCCAUCCUCGUCGUCGUUUCCCGUGCCAUCGUCGCACACCAGAAGAGGAGAGAGAGAUCGGGCAGAUGAGAGAGAAGGCUGCGUCGAGCUGGAGGAGCUGCGCCCAGUUUCCAUCGUCGCCAUCAAUGGAGGUUCGUCGGGAAGAGGAGCUCGACGCGAGGGAGGAAAGACGCGACUCUGCCGCCGCUAUUCUGUUAAGACUCGAGAGAAGGACGCGUGCGAGAGGGAGGUCGAAGCUGUCGCAUGCGGAGGAGAGGAACGGCAUCGCGGUUGGAGUUGGAACUUUCUGCCGCCGUUGGGUCACCCACUGCCAUCGCUGUUCUGAAGCCGUCAAGCCACCACCAGGAUCCAACGCGAGGAGAGGGAAACAGAAACGCAGACGGAAGAGAGGAAUGGGAGUCACUGCUGCUGCUGAACUGACAAAGCCACUCCGGAGCUGCCGCUGCCGCUGUCGGAGUUCCUAGUCACCGCCACCGCCGUUGGUAAAGAGUAUUCUUGCUUUCGGUUUCCGUUCUUUCAAUUUCUAGGUAUUGUUAUCACUGCGAUGUUAUUGCAGCUGCCGCUGAGGUUUUUCGCCAUCAGCGGAGCUGUUGCCAGGACAGUUCGGAGUUGCUGCUGCUUUGUUCUGCUAUUACAGAUUGAAUUAUCGAGGUUGUAUGUUGCGAUUAGAGUUGCUGUGGUUGCUGCGAAAGUGGUUUGGAGCUGAGGUUGCGGUUGUGGCCGUUGCAGGCCGAAAGAAAACAGUUUUGCCGCGUAGUUGAGUCACGAUCGAGAGUUGUUUCUGCAUUUGAUUCCAUCAAAUUCGAAUAUUUUGUUGUUGCUGCGAGCGUAGUUAGAGUUGGUGUUGCUGCUGCUGCCGUCCCGGUUGUGUUGGAAUUGUCACCACUGCUGAAAUUAGAAACGAAAUGGGGGCUGUCGUGUUCAAUUUGUGAUUCCGGCUAAUCGAGGGCUUUUGCCUCUGAUUAUUCAAAUCUUGUAGGGUCAAUGCGGUCUCUGAGAAAUAUUUUCCAGAAGGAGGCUUGAUCCGGCACACAAAGUCCUCCAUUAUUGAAGAAUUUUCAUGCUUCUGCACAUAAUCAUUUUCAACCAUCAAAAGCUUAGGGAACUCAAUGUUAUUAUUUGCUUAACCACUAAACAGAGGGUUGAUUUUGAUUUUCGAGGGAGCAAAGCAAUGGUGUCUCCUUGGGAUCAUAUGGGAGAAAUUGCAAAUGUGGCUCUGUUAACUGGUUUAGAUGCAGUUCGUUUGAUUGGGUUGAUUGUGAAAACGGCGAGCACGACAAGGAUGCAUAAGAACUGCAGGCAAUUUGCAUAGCAUCUCAAUAGCAUCUCAAGUUGACUGGAAACUUGUUAGAGCGGCUGAAGAUCUCGGAGCUGAAGGGGUACCCUGAGACAAGGGAGCCAUUGGAGAAGAUUGAGGAUGCAUAAGUCAUGUAUUUCAUCUAGAGGACUUAUAUAAUUAUCUUUCAUAUUUUGAUAUGUGAAUUAGAUAUCAUUACAUAAUAGUAUAUUUGAAAUAUUUUAAUUUGAUAAUAUUUAUCCAAAUAGAAUAAAUUGAGAUUUUAUCUUUUUUUCA